rnacentral:rRNA from 1 species
UACAGGGGGGGCGAGCGUUGUUCGGAAUUACUGGGCGUAAAGCGCACGUAGGCGGAUUUGUUAGUCAGGGGUGAAAUCCCGGGGCUCAACCUCGGAACUGCCUUUGAUACUGCAAGUCUCGAGUCCGAUAGAGGUGGGUGGAAUUCCUAGUGUAGAGGUGAAAUUCGUAGAUAUUAGGAAGAACACCGGUGGCGAAGGCGGCCCACUGGAUCGGUACUGACGCUGAGGUGCGAAAGCGUGGGGAGCAAACAGG